GAUGAAGAACGCAGCGAAAUGCGAUACGUAAUGUGAAUUGCAGAAUUCAGUGAAUCAUCGAAUCUUUGAACGCAUAUUGCGCUCUCUGGUAUUCCGGAGAGCAUGCUUGUUUGAGUAUCAGUAAACACCUCAACUUCCAUAUCUUUUUUUGAAAUGGGAGUUGGACUUGAGUGAUCCCAACGCUUUUCCUCACCGAAAAGUGGCGGGUUACUUGAAAUGCAGGUGCAGCUGGACUUUUCUCUGAGCUAUAAGCAUAUCUAUUUAGUCUGCCUAAAAAACAGAUUAUUACCUUUGCUGCAGCUAACAUAAAGGAGAUUAGUUCUUGUGCUGACUGAUGCAGGUUUCACAAAGACAGCUUCGGCCGACUUUGUAAACUCGAUCUCAAAUCAAGUAAGACUACCCGCUGAACUUAAGCAUAUCAAUAAGCGGAGGA
rnacentral:misc_RNA from 1 species